GACGAACGCUGGCGGCGUGCUUAACACAUGCAAGUCGAACGGAAAGGCCCUGCUUUUGUGGGGUGCUCGAGUGGCGAACGGGUGAGUAACACGUGAGUAACCUGCCCUUGACUUUGGGAUAACUUCAGGAAACUGGGGCUAAUACCGGAUAGGAGCUCCUGCUGCAUGGUGGGGGUUGGAAAGUUUCGGCGGUUGGGGAUGGACUCGCGGCUUAUCAGCUUGUUGGUGGGGUAGUGGCUUACCAAGGCUUUGACGGGUAGCCGGCCUGAGAGGGUGACCGGCCACAUUGGGACUGAGAUACGGCCCAGACCACUAGGGGAGGAAGCAGGGGGGAAUAUUGAAAAAUGGGGGGAAGCCUGAUGCAGAAACGCCGGGGGGGGGAUGACGGCCUUGGGGUUGUAAACCGCUUUCGCCUGGGACGAAGGGGGGGUGACGGUAAUGGGUAAAGAAGCACCGGCUAACUACGU
rnacentral:rRNA from 1 species